GUUUCUGUAGUGUAGUGGUUAUCACGUUCGUCUUACAUGCGAAAGGUCUGUGGUUCAAAACCUGGCAGAAACA